rnacentral:rRNA from 1 species
AUACGGAGGAUCCGAGCGUUAUCCGGAUUUAUUGGGUUUAAAGGGUGCGCGGGCGGGAGAUUAAGUCGGCGGUGAAAUUUUGCAGCUCAACUGUAAAAGUGCCUUCGAUACUGGUUUCCUUGAGUGUGGAUGAAGUAGGCGGAAUUUGUGGUGUAGAGGUGAAAUGCUUAGAUAUCACGAGGAACUCCGAUUGCGCAGGCAGCUUACUAAACCACUACUGACGCUCAGGCACGAAGGCGUGGGGAUCAAACAGGAUUAGAUACCCUGGUAGUCCACGCAGUAAACGAUGAUUACUGGCUGUUUGCGAUACAAUGUAAGCGGCUGAGCGAAAGCGUUAAGUAAUCCACCUGGGGAGUACGUUCGCAAGAAUGAAACUCAAAUGAAUUGACGGGG